rnacentral:rRNA from 1 species
CCUACGGGUGGCAGCAGUGAGGAAUAUUGGUCAAUGGACGAGAGUCUGAACCAGCCAAGUAGCGUGAAGGAUGACUGCCCUAUGGGUUGUAAACCUCUUUUAUAUGGGAAUAAAACGUUCCACGUGUGGGAUUUUGUAUGUACCAUAUGAAUAAGGAUCGGCUAACUCCGUGCCAGCAGCCGCGGUAAUACGGAGGAUCCGAGCGUUAUCCGGAUUUAUUGGGUUUAAAGGGUGCGUAGGUGGAUUGUUAAGUCAGUUGUGAAAGUUUGCGGCUCAACCGUAAAAUUGCAGUUGAAACUGGCAGUCUUGAGUACAGUAGAGGUGGGCGGAAUUCGUGGUGUAGCGGUGAAAUGCUUAGAUAUCACGAAGAACUCCGAUUGCGAAGGCAGUUCACUGGACUGCAACUGACACUGAGGCUCGAAAGUGUGGGUAUCAAACAGGAUUAGAUACCCGAGUAGUC